rnacentral:tRNA from 1 species
GCGGUUGGAGCUCAGAUCGUAGAGCCCCGGAUUGAGAUUCCGGUUGUCGCGGGUUCGAGACCCGUCAAUCGCCCCA